GAAGCAUGCUAUGAAUUUAAUGGGAAUGAAUGUUUUUACAAGAUGAUUACUCAUUGCACACUCAAGUCAACGAAAAACGACGCAGAAAUCGACAUCACAGAUCUGUUUUGGCAUAGGAUUCCCAGACACAAUUUGGAUCGAAAUCUCAAAUCCUUCAAAUAAGCUAUGAUUAUGUUGCGAAUGAAAUAUAACUGUACAUGUAUGUACAUUCUCGUGCUUAUAAAUAUCGGCAGAAGUUGGCUUCUCAAUUCGACAUAGAAAUGCAUCGACAAAUGACAGAGCAAAAUAGAACUCUAGUUCUUGCUUACCUCCUGUUCGGCCUCCUCAUAUCUUCUCAAUGCGUUCAUUCAAUUGGCUUCGUGAAUCAUUAUGAAUCGGCUGAAUCCAGAGAAGCGCAACCGGGAAGAAAAUUCAUGUUCGUCGAUACAAUGAAAGGGAGAGAACAGGUGAGAGCUAGCGGUCGGAAGAAUCCUUCAGGACCGAACCCCAUUGGGAAUCGACACCCACCGUCAAUCCAAGGCUGAACCAAUGGCGUAUCUAUCAGUUGGUUGAAAUUCAUUUUGGAGUUCAAUCAGCUGAAAAUCUGUCAAAUUUUCGUUUGUGAAGAAGAUGAACACCGUUGAAUUUAUGGAGUAUUUUUUCCCUUGCGUUGGAUUUUGAUUACUUAUUUGAAUUUUUAGCGGAAUUUCCAGAUAAAUUAUUUAUAU